UAUUGCACAAUGGGCGAAAGCCUGAUGCAGCGGCGCCGCGUGAGCGAAGAAGUAUUUCGGUAUGUAAAGCUCUAUCAUCAGGGAAGAUAAUGACGGUACCUGAUUAAUAAGCACCGGCUAAAUACGUGCCAGCAGCCGCGGUAAUACGUAAGGUGCAAGCGUUAUCCGGAUUUACUGGGUGUAAAGGGGGCGCAGGCGGUGCGGCAAGUCUGAUGUGAAAGCCCCGGGCUCAACCCCGGUACUGCAUUGGAAACUGUCGUACUAGAGUGUCGGAGGGGUAAGCGGAAUUCCUAGUGUAGCGGUGAAAUGCGUAGAUAUUAGGAGGAACACCAGUGGCGAAGGCGGCUUACUGGACGAUAACUGACGCUGAGGCUCGAAAGCGUGGGGAGCAAACAGG
rnacentral:rRNA from 1 species